rnacentral:rRNA from 1 species
GACGAACGCUGGCGGCGUGCUUAACACAUGCAAGUCGAACGGAAAGGCCCUGCUUUUGUGGGGUGCUCGAGUGGCGAACGGGUGAGUAACACGUGAGUAACCUGCCCUUGACUUUGGGAUAACUUCAGGAAACUGGGGCUAAUACCGGAUAGGAGCUCCUGCUGCAUGGUGGGGGUUGGAAAGUUUCGGCGGUUGGGGAUGGACUCGCGGCUUAUCAGCUUGUUGGUGGGGUAGUGGCUUACCAAGGCUUUGACGGGUAGCCGGCCUGAGAGGGUGACCGGCCACAUUGGGACUGAGAUACCGCCCAGACUCCUUCGGGAGGCAGCAGUGGGGAAUAUUGCACCAUGGGCGGAAGCCUGAUGCAGCAACGCCGCGUGCGGGAUGACGGCCUUCGGGUUGUAAACCGCUUUCGCCUGUGACGAAGCGUGAGUGACGGUAAUGGGUAAAGAAGCAACGGCUAACUACGUG